UACCAGCACCCCGAGUGGUCGGGACGUUUAUUGGGCCUAAAGCAUCCGUAGCCGGUUCUACAAGUCUUCCGUUAAAUCCAUCUGCUUAACAGAUGGGCUGCGGAAGAUACUAUAGAGCUAGGAGGCGGGAGAGGCAAGCGGUACUCGAUGGGUAGGGGUAAAAUCCGUUGAUCCAUUGAAGACCACCAGUGGCGAAGGCGGCUUGCCAGAACGCGCUCGACGGUGAGGGAUGAAAGCUGGGGGAGCACACCGG
rnacentral:rRNA from 1 species